rnacentral:rRNA from 1 species
GUCUAAGGCCAUACCACCCCCAACGCGCCCAAUCUCGUCUGAUCUCGGAAGCUAAGCAGGGUCGGGCCUGGUUAGUACUUGGAUGGGAGGUUCUCUCGUUGUCCCUCUGCC